GGAGGUGUGGCCGAGUGGUUGAAGGCACCUGUCUUGAAAACAGGCAAGCUAACGCUUCGUGGGUUCGAAUCCCACCGCCUCCUCCA
rnacentral:tRNA from 2 species